GAGAGACAAAGCUUGCGCCUUCUCCAUGGUUGUCGUCACUGGAGGUGAUGACCGGCGACGGCCAUGACUUCACCCCUUCUCUCAUCUCCCCCUCUCUUUUCCCCCAUGUUUGUUCCUUAAUGGCUUUGCUCAAAACCCGACGAAAAUAAUUAUAUUUGUUCGAACGCAAACAGAUCUGACCGGAUCUGUGUUUUUCGGUCGACUCUGGCGAAGUCAUGUUCUCUUGAUGUUGCUGGUGCUAUUCCGGUGACAUCGCUGUUGAAGUAGCGCCGCUGGCCUUUGAUAAUGAAGCUAAGAUCUAGAGAAACAUGAAACCUUAUCUUUCCGGCGACCUCUGUAUUUUGCGGCCACUUGUUCUUGCGCCUUCCUCCAACAAUUUGAGGCCUUUGGUUGUGGUUGUUUGCUCUGUUUGGACGUUAUUACUCAUGAGUUCGUGUCGCCUGUUCGCCGGGUAUUUUGUUUAUUGUUUGAACCGUAUGGUGAUAGUUUAUACUGAUUGAUUAAUGCCAUAUCUUGGUUUGAAAGUGGUUUGUGAUACCACUGUUGGCUGUCGCUUCAGUUUGUUCUUGUUCUCUUGUGAAAGCCCAUUUGCUUUUUUGACACAUCACAUGAGAAUUACCCGUUUCAACUCAUGGAUUUGACCACUACUGUUUGCUGCUCUUUCAUUAACGUAGAAUUCGAAACAAAAAUGUGGUUUUUUUGGAUUCAAAUAAUCAAAAUAUGAAGAAAAAAAAAAAUAACUUGGGAACCAUAAUAUAUAUAGCACGGUAUUUCACCGCACUAUACCUUAACUGCACGUUUGUCCGUUAAGGUAUAGCGCGGUGAAAUACCGCGCUAUACUUGAACUCAAAUGGGCGGAAAGGUAUAGUGCACAUAUGUACUGCGCUAUACGAUAGCGCUCUAUAUAUGCGCGCUAUACCUACACAAAUAAGCCGGCCAUCUUCUUCCCCAAACAAAACAGAACGCCCCCUCCCCCAAAUUAAAAACUCCCAACAGCGCCUCCCCCUCC
rnacentral:lncRNA from 1 species